rnacentral:rRNA from 1 species
AAUGAACGCUGGCGGCAGGCCCAACACAUGCAAGUCGAACGGAUCCUUCGGGAUUAGUGGCGGACGGGUGAGUAACGCGUGGGAACAUACCCUUUGGUACGGAAUAGCCUCGGGAAACUGGGAGUAAUACCGUAUGUGGUCGAGAGACGAAAGAUUUAUCGCCAAAGGAUUGGCCCGCGUUGGAUUAGGUAGGUGGUGGGGUACUGGCCUACCAAGCCGACGAUCCAUAGCUGGUUUGAGAGGAUGAUCAGCCACACUGGGACUGAGACACGGCCCAGACUGCUACGGGAGGCAGCAGUGGGGAAUCUUAGACAAUGGGGGAAACCCUGAUCUAGCCAUGCCGCGUGAUCGAUGAAGGCCUUAGGGUUGUAAAGAUCUUUCAGGUGGGAAGAUAAUGACUGUACCACCAGAAGAAGCCCCGGCUAACUCCGUGCCAGCCGCCGCAGUAA